rnacentral:rRNA from 1 species
GUCCUUUUGAAUUUGAUUUAAGGUCUAGCCUGCCCACUGAAAUUAUUUUAAAUGGCCGCAGUAAUUUGACUGUGCAAAGGUAGCAUAAUCAUUAGUUUUUUAAUUAAAAGCUUGUAUGAAAGGUUGGACGAGGUAAAAUCUGUCUCUAUUUAAAUUAAUUUAGAAUUUAACUUUUUAGUCAAAAGGCUUAAAUUUAAUUAAAAGACGAGAAGACCCUAUAGAUCUUUAUAUUUUUUUUAAUAAUUUUAAUUAAGAAUAUUUAAAAUUUUAUUAGAAAAAUUAUUUUAUUGGGGUAAUAUAAAGAUUAAAAUAAUUCUUUUUUAUUAUUAACAUUAAUUUAUGAUUUUAAUGAUCCAUUUUUAUUGAUUAUAAGAUUAAGUUACCUUAGGGAUAACAGCGUAAUUUUUUUAAAGAGUUCAUAUCGAUAAAAAAGUUUGCGACCUCGAUGUUGGAUUAAAGAUUAUUUUAGGUGCAGAAGUUUAAAAUUUUGGUCUGUUCGACCAUUGAAUCUUUACAUGAUCUGAGUUCAGACCGGUGUAAGCCAGGUCGGUUUCUAUCUUUAAUAAUUAUAAAAUAUUUUAGUACGAAAGGACCAAAUAUUUAAUAUAUUAAUAUUUAAAUUUUGAAUGUUAUUAAA